CACACACACACACACACACACACACAUUGAUUGCCGGUACGAGCCCAGCGCCCAGAGAGCUAAUCCAUAAUUUACACCUCCCUGCCGGGCUAUUCUCUGCUCUGACGCCGGGACACGGCCGCUGGAACACUCUGUCCUGCACACACACACAGGCACACACACACACACAUACAGCACAAAAACAGAAACACACACACACACAGAUACAGCACAAAAACAGAAACACACAGGGCAAGACAGACAGGGACACAUUAUCCCUUCCACGUUGUCAUUGAUGCAGACACUGGAGGUAUCGCCGUGUCCCCGAGCCUACCCCAUCUGACUGCAGCUCUUCAGUUUGAACUCAAUGGAAGCCCUGUGGAGGGGGGGCUGAGCGCACUGUCUGGUCUAGAGAGGGGACCCCCAUCCGACGGGGAACUCCCAUCCAGAGAGGGGACCCCCAUCUAGAGAGGGUACCCCAUCUAGAGAGAGGACCCCCAUCUAGAGAGAGGAUCCCCAUCCAGAGAGGGGACCCCCAUCUAGAGAGGGAUCCCCAUCCAGAGAGGGGACCCCCAUCCAGAGAGGGGACCCCCAUCUAGAGAGGGUACCCCAUCUAGAGAGAGGACCCCCAUCUAGAGAGAGGAUCCCCAUCCAGAGAGGGGACCCCCAUCUAGAGAGAGGACCCCCAUCUAGAGAGGGUACCCCAUCUAGAGAGGGGACCCCCAUCUAGAGAGAGGACCCCCAUCUAGAGAGGGGACCCCCAUCUAGAGAGGGUACCCCCAUCUAGAGAGAGGACCCCCAUCUAGAGAGGGGACCCCCAUCUAGAGAGAGGACCCCCAUCUAGAGAGGGGACCCCCAUCUAGAGAGAGGACCCCCAUCUAGAGAGGGGACCCCCAUCUAGAGAGGGGACCCUAAUCUAGAGAGGGGACCCCCAUCUAGAGAGGGGACCCCCAUCCAGAGAGGGGAUCCUAAUCUAGAGAGGGGACCCCAUCUAGAGAGGGUACCCCAUCUAGAGAGGGGACCCCCAUCUAGAGAGGGUACCCCAUCUAGAGAGAGGACCCCCAUCUAGAGAGGGCACCCCAUCUAGAGACAAAAUAUGAAGGGACGCAUGAAUGCAUGAAAACACACACACACACACACACACACACAAACACACACACAAAUACUACCAGGCACAACCUCACACACACACACACAGGCGAUAAGCAGCACUUCGAAGGCCAAUAUAAAAAUAAAAAUGUUAAUGCAAUGCUAAUGUUAUGGUAAUGUGAUGAUAAUCUUGGAUGAGCAGUGGUCACCCAGAGCUGUCAGCCUGGGACUGGGGUUGACCUGAGGCAAGACAGCCUCACCGGCCUUCAGACCCUUCUCUAGACACACACACACACACACACACACACACACACACACACACACACA
ensembl:lncRNA